GGGACAAAGGACAAACAUGAAUCUCCAAAUACAGCCAGCUGUGUUUGGAGAUUCAUGUUUGUCUUUUGUCCCC
rnacentral:pre_miRNA from 1 species